rnacentral:rRNA from 1 species
AUUGAACGCUGGCGGCAUGAUUUACACAUGCAAGUCGAACGGUAACAGGCCGCAAGGUGCUGACGAGUGGCGCACGGGUGAGUAAUGCAUCGGAACGUGCCCAGUCGUGGGGGAUAACUACUCGAAAGAGUAGCUAAUACCGCAUACGAUCUAUGGAUGAAAGCGGGGGACCGUAAGGCCUCGCGCGAUUGGAGCGGCCGAUGUCAGAUUAGGUAGUUGGUGGGGUAAAGGCUCACCAAGCCAACGAUCUGUAGCUGGUCUGAGAGGACGACCAGCCACACUGGGACUGAGACACGGCCCAGACUCCUACGGGAGGCAGCAGUGGGGAAUUUUGGACAAUGGGCGCAAGCCUGAUCCAGCAAUGCCGCGUGCAGGAAGAAGGCCUUCGGGUUGUAAACUGCUUUUGUACUGAACGAAACGGCUCUGGUUAAUACCCGGGGCUAAUGACGGUACCGUAAGAAUAAGCACCGGCUAACUACGUG